AGCAAUUUGGCGCAGUGGAAGCGCGGUAAGUCAACAACCCGGAGGUCCUACGAUCGAAACGUAGAAUUGCUA
rnacentral:tRNA from 1 species